UACGGAGGGUGCAAGCGUUGUCCGGAAUCACUGGGCGUAAAGGGCGCGUAGGCGGCUCGGUAAGUAGGGGUGAAAUCCUGCGGCUUAACCGCAGGGCUGCCUUCUAAACUGUCGAGCUUGAGCACGGUAGAGGCAGAUGGAAUUCCCGGUGUAGCGGUGGAAUGCGUAGAGAUCGGGAAGAACAUCAGUGGCGAAGGCGGUCUGCUGGGCCGUUGCUGACGCUGAGGCGCGACAGCGUGGGGAGCAAACAGG
rnacentral:rRNA from 1 species